CACUUGGCGCUCUUCGGGCUGUGGGUGGAGGAGGGCUCGGACCGGGCCCUUUGGUGCUGGCCCGGCCCACGGGAGCUCGGUCCCCUGCAGUGCACCCCGACUGUCCUUGGAGGGGCCCGUCGAGACGGCCGUCCUCCUGAGUCUGGUGGGGGUCAGGAGCAUCGUGGCGAACCAGUGGCCGACGGUCCUGCGGGACAACGCGACGCGGGCCAGCAUCCUGUGGGAAAAUCUGUUGACAGCUGGCAAGCCGAUCGGGAGAACGACCCGCCUCCUUCAGAAGAGGGGAACCGGUGAAACUGUCCACCACGAUGAGGCUCUGCAGACCUGGAAGGACAGGCUGGUGCUCUUCCGGCCGCAGCCGCCGGGCUCGGAGCGGCUCCCCGUCACCCUCAACCUGGUACUCUACGGGCUGCCGCACCAGGCCAUCGUGUGAUGGGGCCGCGCCUCCCCACAGCCCGUCCCCACCAUCCGCCAU